CCCCCCGCGCCCCCCCACGAACUGCAGCCAGCUAAUCCAGACGAUCGAGGACGCGGGCGCCAUCCAGCGGGAGAUCCGGGACCUGGAGGAGCAGAUCGAGAGCGAGGGGGCCAAGAAGACCUUGGCCAACCUGGAGCGGAUCCUGGGCGACUACCGGGCCCUGCGGCAGGAGAACGCGGCGCUGCUGGGGAGGAGCCGGGACCCCUGAGACGGCUGCAUAGAACGGCCCUCCGCUGGGCCCCCCGGUUCUCCACUGCCCCCACCCCCAGCUGCCGGGGUGACCCCCUCCAUUUCUCUCCCUGCCAGCUGCGGCAGCAGCCCCCCCCCCCAAGCAGCAGCUGAGUCUGGGCGCUGGAUUUUGCUCCCUUUAUUCCCCCCCAGCCGGGGCCCAAGGCGGCUGUGGCAGGGGUGCAGCGCCCCCCCCCCUUCCCCUCCUGGAACGAGGCCAAUAAAGUCCGUGGUUUUGCAGACA